CCUACGGGAGGCAGCAGUGGGGAAUAUUGCACAAUGGGGGAAACCCUGAUGCAGCGACGCCGCGUGAGUGAAGAAGUAUUUCGGUAUGUAAAGCUCUAUCAGCAGGGAAGAAAAAAGACGGUACCUGACUAAGAAGCCCCGGCUAACUACGUGCCAGCAGCCGCGGUAAUACGUAGGGGGCAAGCGUUAUCCGGAUUUACUGGGUGUAAAGGGAGCGUAGACGGCGCGGCAAGUCUGAAGUGAAAGGCAGGGGCUUAACCCCUGAACUGCUUUGGAAACUGCCAUGCUAGAGUGCUGGAGAGGUAAGUGGAAUUCCUAGUGUAGCGGUGAAAUGCGUAGAUAUUAGGAGGAACACCGGCGGCGAAGGCGGCCUGCUGGACCGCGACUGACGUUGAGGCUCGAAAGCGUGGGGAGCGAACAGGAUUAGAUACCCCGGUAGUC
rnacentral:rRNA from 1 species